rnacentral:rRNA from 1 species
AGGCUUAAUACAUGCAAGUCGAGGGGUCAGCGCGGGUAGCAAUACCUGGCGGCGACCGGCAAACGGGUGAGGAACAUGUACGCAACCUUCCUUUAACUGGAGGAUAGCCCCUCGAAAGAGGGAUUAAUACUCCGUAAGAUAAUGAAGUGGCAUCACUUUAUUAUUAUAGCUCCGGCGGUUAAAGAUGGGCGUGCAACUGAUUAGGUAGUUGGCGGGGUAACGGCCCACCAAGCCUGCGAUCAGUAACUGGUGUGAGAGCACGACCAGUCACACGGGCACUGAGACACGGGCCCGACUCCUACGGGAGGCAGCAGUAAGGAAUAUUGGUCAAUGGACGCAAGUCUGAACCAGCCAUGCCGCGUGGAGGAUUAAGGCCCUCUGGGUUGUAAACUCCUUUUAUCUGGGAAGAAAUGUUUCGAUUCUUCGGAACUUGACGGUACCAGAGGAAUAAGCACCGGCUAACUCCGUGCCAGCAGCCGCGGUAAUACGGAGGGUGCAAGCGUUAUCCGGAUUCACUGGGUUUAAAGGGUGCGUAGGCGGGCGGAUAAGUCAGUGGUGAAAUCUCCGAGCUUAACUCGGAAACUGCCAUUGAUACUAUUUGUCUGAUAUUGUGGAGGUAAGCGGAAUAUGUCAUGUAGCGGUGAAAUGCUUAGAUAUGACAUAGAACACCAAU